rnacentral:rRNA from 1 species
CCUACGGGAUGCAGCAGUGGGGAAUAUUGCACAAUGGGCGAAAGCCUGAUGCAGCAACGCCGCUUGAGCGAUGAAGGCCUUCGGGUCGUAAAGCUCUGUCCUCAAGGAAGAUAAUGACGUUCCUUGAGGAUGAAGCCCCGGCUAACUACGUGCCAUCAGCCGCGGUAAUACGUAGGGGGCUAGCGUUAUCCGGAAUUACUGGGCGUAAAGGUUGCGUAGGUGGUUUCUUAAGGCAGAGUUGAAAGGCUACGGCUCAACCGUAGUAAGCCUUUGAAACUGGGAAACUUGAGUGCAGGAGAGGAGAGUGGAAUUCCUAGUGUAGAGGUGAAAUGCGUAGAUAUUAGGAGGAA